rnacentral:rRNA from 1 species
GUGGGGAAUCUUGCGCAAUGGGCGAAAGCCUGACGCAGCCAUGCCGCGUGAAUGAUGAAGGUCUUAGGAUUGUAAAAUUCUUUCACCGGGGACGAUAAUGACGGUACCCGGAGAAGAAGCUCCGGCUAACUUCGUGCCAGCAGCCGCGGUAAUACGAAGGGGGCCAGCGUUGCUCGGAAUUACUGGGCGUAAAGGGCGCGUAGGCGGACAGCUUAGUCAGAGGUGAAAGCCCAGGGCUCAACCUUGGAAUUGCCUUUGAUACUGGCUGUCUUGAGUUUGGGAGAGGUGAGUGGAACUCCGAGUGUAGAGGUGAAAUUCGUAGAUAUUCGGAAGAACACCAGUGGCGAAGGCGACUCACUGGCCCAAUACUGACGCUGAGGCGCGAAAGCGUGGGGAGCAAACAGGAUUAGAUACCCUGGUAGUCC